rnacentral:lncRNA from 1 species
AGAUAGUCAAUAGAAAACACUUAAGGACAACCAAGAAUUUGGAAUUAAAUGACAAGAACUUUAAAAUGAUUUAGAAUUGUUAAGGGGGCAAUAGAAAAUCUAGACAGCAUGCAUGAAUAAAUAGAUCAUUUAAAUAGAACUUUAAAUAUUAGAAAAUAAAUAAAUUUUUAAUAAUUUUUAUGAUAAUAAAUUAUAAAAGUAAAUAAAAAUACUAGAAUAUAUAAUAAUAGAAGGAAGAAUUUUUUGCACACCCAGCAGACUAGAUACAGAAGAGGAAAGAAUCAGUAAAUUAGAAAACAAGUUAAUAAACAUUAUUCAAAAUGGAACACAGAUAGGGAAAAAAUGGUGAAAAAUCACAGAGUAAAGCAUUCAAGACUGGCAUAUCAAAUAUUUUGAGACUGAAGAAUUUCUAUUGAAAUAGCAUCUCAAUUUUUAUAGCAUUUAUCCUUUUUUUAUGUUUUUACAUAGUAAUGUCCUGUUAUCAGAUUGAUGAAGUAGAUCUGUAAAUGUGGUGGAAUUAGCAUUUGAAACAUACCAACAACUUCAAAUUCCUUUAAGUUUUGAGUUGAGUGCUACCAAAUUUGUCAGAAAUAAAAUGAUAAACACAGAGCACAACAAACAACAUUUUUCUAAUAGCUUGAUAUGAAUAUAAAAGUAUUUUUUAGAUUUUUUUUUGGACAAAGACAUAUCUUUUGUGCUUAUUUUCACAUGUAUUGGAAUAGGAUUUGCUUUGUGGUUCAUAUUUCUCAUGGAGAAAUUUUUUGUCUUUUUUCUUAUAAGUCUAAACUGACAUGAAAUAUUCUAUUUAUGAAGUCCUUCAUCUAUCCAUAUUUUGUUAAUGUUACUUUUAUUUCAGAAUUUCUUAGGGAAUAGUUGUGUCAAUAACUAGAUAAUACCCAAACCUUUUAACCUGUUUUGUAUCAUGUGUGAUGUGCAAAAUUUCCAGGAUUGACUCAUAAAAACCUUCCAUUGGAUCCUCCACUUGCUCUUCUCCAUCUAGUGGUUGGACCAUCUCAGAGCAGCCCCUUCUAAGCCAGUUUGCAUGAGAUUUGCUGACCAUACCCCUGCUGGACCCAGCACUCACACUAACUAAAAUUCAUGUGAACAGGGAGUAACAAUUUCCUGAAUUAAAUGACUGAACCUCCACACAUAUCUAUCCUAACAGCCUGAGAUACCCCAAUUGUAAUAUAACAUUUCAUUUUUUUUGUUGUUGUUGUUGAGUUUAACAAUGAAGUCCAUGGCAGUAGAUAUGUCAAGGGAAAAAAGGACAAGCAUAGUUUUCCU